GAUUCCGUAGCUCAGUCUGGUUAGAGCGCCGCUCUGAUAAGGCGGAGGUCCUGGGUUCAAAUCCCAGCGGGAUCA
rnacentral:tRNA from 1 species